rnacentral:ncRNA from 2 species
UACGCUGGCCGGGCAACAGGUUCGCCCCGUCCGCCAGGCGGGAGCGUCGCAAGAGGGAACCCGGUGGGAAUCCGGGACUGCCCCGCAGCGGUGAGUGGGAACGACCGCCGUCAUACGCACUGGAUCCGGGCCGCGGAUCCGGGAAGCGACGGCCAGUAGGUGCCCGCCGGAAGACUCCGGCAGGCGCGCCCGCGAGUCCGAAGACCUGCCCGUUGCCCGUGCACGCC